GAGGCCACAGGACCUCGAAAGCACCGCGUCCCGUCCGAUCUGCAAAUUUAAGCAAGGUAUCGCCUAAUCAGUGCUGCGGUGGGGGACCACGCGGGAAUCUUAGGUGUUACAGUUC